AAAUCUCAACCUUCUCGGUUUCUUCUGGACUCCGAAGGAGGCUUGGACUUUGGAGGCCUUUGCUGGCGUAUCGUCAGCUCCUCUCAAAUGAAUUAGCGGGGUCCUCUUUGCUGAUCCUCGACAUGUGAUAAGAUGUUUCCGUGUCUUGGUUUCUGGCUCUGUUGCUUUUGGGACCCGCUUCUAACCGUCUCUACGAGACAAUGUUCGAGCGUGUCUCCCUUCUCGGGAAACACUCUCAAACCCACGAAC
rnacentral:misc_RNA from 1 species